GAAAAAAAAGAAAAAAAGAAAGGUGGCCCCAGAUUGAACCUGCCUUCAGUCCCUUGAGCGUACACAAAAUAAUUGAAAUCCAUCUCCAUCGAACCCCUAUUGUAUUCUUUCCCAGCAAGGCCUCGUGACUAUUUUUUGUUUUUUGUUUUUUUUAUACCUUUGGUAAAAAGUUGAUUGGAGUUUUUCAGCCACUCCAAACCAUUGAUAUCUCUGCCACCUGAUCUACAAUGACCAAGAGUUGACUGGCGUGCAAGACUCACAACCCGCCUCUCAAGCCACUUGUAUAUGUCACAUGUGCCUGGGGGUCGUCGGAGCCCAAAACGGCAAAACUUACACCAACUACGACUCCGAUCGGGGUGUGAUUGGGUCAAGGCUCACUUUCGAUGGCCCAGGCCCAAUUUUGAAUUGCACAGCCCACUUCCGAAGGCCCAAGGCCUAUUAUCAAUUUUGUGCAUCUGAAAUACUGUAAAAAACAAUACCAACAUUCUAACAUUGUCAAUAGAUUAUGCAUAUAUAAAAAUAGAAAAAACCUUCCUGCAGGAGCCUCUGUUAUUCUUCAACCAAUGGAGUCAAAUGGAAACAUGUCAUGUAAAAGCCAUAUGAAAAAAUGGGUAGACCGCACAGCAUAAGAUUUAAAAAAAAAAUUCACUCUUCGUGCGACUAGUCCGUCCUCCCCCCCCCCCCCCCCAAAAAAAAAAGAAACUCUCUCUCUCUCUCUCUCUCUCUCUCUCUCUCUUUGUGCCAAUAAAGCCUUCGAGGAUCAAGGGCCCUCUCUCUCUCUCUCUCUCUGAGGAUUUCGUCCCUUCCUUUAUGUUUUUCCUUCUCUUUCCUUUUCUCUAAUGUGUUGGUUUUUUUCCCUGCAACCUAUCUAUUUGUUAUCUCACACCUUGCACUUACAGCGGUACUAGUUUUUCAAGCGAUAUGAAACACACUGACAGUGAUACUUGUUCAACUUCUUGGACUUCAAGAGCAAAAAACCAAGCUGAUUUGGAGAGAUUAGUUUUAUUAUUGUCAUGGUUCUAUUUUGUUAUGAUUUGUGCUAUAAUUAUUUUGUAUUAAAUUUUGUAAUCCAAACUAGUACUUUUGGAAUGUAUCUACAUCUUUUUUAAUGUAACGAAAGACUAAAUGUACUUCUCCUGCAUGUAAUGCUAAUGUUUUGUAAUGUAAUGAGCAUUAUGUUAAAGUA